rnacentral:rRNA from 1 species
UACAGAGGUCUCGAGCGUUAGGCGGAAUCACUGGGCUUAAAGCGUGUGUAGGCGGAUCGUUAAGUACCUUGUGAAAUCCCACGGCUUAACCGUGGAACUGCUUGGUAUACUGGCGGUCUUGAGCCAGCUAGGGGGCUACCGGAACAAAUGGUGGAGCGGUGAAAUGCGUAGAUAUCAAUUUGGAACGCCAAUGGGUGAAAACAGGUAGCUGGGGCU